rnacentral:miRNA from 1 species
CUAGCGAAGAGAAGAAGAGAGAGAACUCAAAUUACUAGCAUACGGGAUGAAAAAGGCAAUAUCACAACAGACACUUCAGAAAUACAGAAGAUAAUCAAAAACUAUUUUGAAUCCUUAUACUCCAAUAAAUUAGAAGAUAGUGAAGGCAUAGAUAAAUUUCUUAAGUGUCUGUUGUGAUAUUGCCUUUUUCAUCCCGUAUGCUAGUAAUUUGAGUUCUCUCUCUUCUUCUCUUCACU